ensembl:lncRNA
GACUCUGGGUUGGUGAAUUCGUGGAGGUCCUGAAAGAGUGGUGCUCUAAGAGAAGCCCCCACUGAAGCUCAAAGCCUCCUGACCUGCCUGCAGGGCAAAUCUGAAGCCUCAGCCCAGAUCAGCCAGGAGCUGGAGCUGGACAGCACAGUGACAACCCUGACUGGGGAAGAAAGAGGAAUUCUAGACAUCAGUACGUGCAUGCGUGCUAAAUUGCUUCAAUCAUGUCUGACUCUGCGACCCCAUGGACUGUAGCUGCCAGGCUCCUCUGUCCAUGGGAUUCUCCAGACAAGAAUACUGCAGUGAGUUGCCAUGCCCUCCUCCAGGGGAUCUUCCCAACUCAGGGAUCAAACCCUUGUCUCUUACAUCUGCAUUGACAGGCAGGUUCUUUCCUACUAGCACCACUUGGGAAGCCCAGAGGUUUUCUAGGUUUUGCUUGUAAAUCAAGAAGAGGCAGUAGAUACAGUCAUGGAAAAAGGCAGAAGAAAACAGACAAAUCAGUUUUCAGUAACCAUGGGCUCUGAUCCUUUCUUGACCAUGAAAGUGAAGUGUUCAACAUAUACCUGCCAAAAAGCUUAUGAGGAUAUGGGCUCGUAAAGGGAUGUAAGCAGCAACAACCAGACGUGCAGCAACAACGACACGGGCUACACAGUGUUCUGGGAAAGACUGAAGGCAGGAGGUGAAGGGGACAUCGGAGGAUGCGACGGUCGGAUGGCACCACUGACUCAAUGGACAUGAGUUUGAGCAACCUCUGGGAGUUGGUGAUGGACAGGGAAGCCUGGCGUGCUGCAAUCCAUGGGGCUGCAAAGAGUCAGACACAACUGAGCAACUGAACUGAACACAGUAUUCUUAAAAGCUUAAUCAGUUGUUGACACUCAACAACCAGGGUACUGUACAUAAAUGUUUGGCUCCAGUGUGACCACACUGGGUCC